rnacentral:rRNA from 1 species
GCAUAUCAAAAAGCGGAGGAAAAGAAACCAACAGGGAUUGCCUUAGUAGCGGCGAGUGAAGCGGCAAAAGCUCAAAUUUGAAAUCUGGCUCUUUCAGAGUCCGAGUUGUAAUUUGAAGAAGGUAUCUUUGGGUCUGGCUCUUGUCUAUGUUUCUUGGAACAGAACGUCACAGAGGGUGAGAAUCCCGUGCGAUGAGAUGAUCCAGGCCUAUGUAAAGUUCCUUCGAAGAGUCGAGUUGUUUGGGAAUGCAGCUCUAAGUGGGUGGUAAAUUCCAUCUAAAGCUAAAUAUUGGCGAGAGACCGAUAGCGAACAAGUACAGUGAUGGAAAGAUGAAAAGAACUUUGAAAAGAGAGUGAAAAAGUACGUGAAAUUGUUGAAAGGGAAGGGCUUGAGAUCAGACUUGGUAUUUUGUAUGUUACUUCUUCGGGGGUGGCCUCUACAGUUUAUCGGGCCAGCAUCAGUUUGGGCGGUAGGAGAAUUGCGUUGGAAUGUGGCACGGCCUCGGUUGUGUGUUAUAGCCUUCGUCGAUACUGCCAGCCUAGACUGAGGACUGCGGUUUAUACCUAGGAUGUUGGCAUAAUGAUCUUAAGUCGCCCGUCUUGAAACCACGG